rnacentral:rRNA from 1 species
CCUACGGGAGGCAGCAGUGGGGAAUAUUGCACAAUGGGGGAAACCCUGAUGCAGCAACGCCGCGUGAGUGAAGAAGUAUUUCGGUAUGUAAAGCUUUAUUAGUAGGGGAGAAGAAAGACGGUACCUGACUAAGAAGCCCCGGCUAACUACGUGCCAGCAGCCGCGGUAAUACGGAGGGGGCAAGCGUUAUCCGGAUUUACUGGGUGUAAAGGGAGCGUAGACGGCUGUGCAAGUCAGAAGUGAAAGUCUGUGGCUCAACCGCGGAACUGCAAUGGAAACUGGAAGGCUUGAGUACUGGAGAGGUAGGCGGAAUUCGUGGUGUAGCGGUGAAAUGCGUAGAUAUCAGGAGGAACACCAGUGGCGAAGGCGGCCUACUAAACAGAAACUGACAUUGAUGCUCGAAAGCGUGGGUAGCAAACAGGAUUAGAUACCCGAGUAGUC